CCUACGGGUGGCAGCAGUGGGGAAUAUUGCACAAUGGGCGAAAGCCUGAUGCAGCGACGCCGCGUGAGCGAUGAAGGCCUUCGGGACGUAAAGCUCUGUCCUCAAGGAAGAAAAUGACGGUACCUGACGAGGAAGCCCCGGCUAACUACGUGCCAGCAGCCGCGGUAAUACGUAGGGGGCAAGCGUUAUCCGGAAUUACUGGGCGUAAGGGGAGCGUAGGUGGAGUCUAAAGUCGGAGGUGAAAGGCUAGGGCUUAACCGUAAUACGCCUUUGAAACUGGGGAGCUUGAGUGCAGGAGAGGUAAGCGGAAUUCCUAGUGUAGCGGUGAAAUGCGUAGAUAUUAGGAGGAACACCAGUGGCGAAGGCGGCUCACUGGACUGUAACUGACGCUGAGGCUCGAAAGCGUGGGGAGCAAACAGGAUUAGAUACCCGAGUAGUC
rnacentral:rRNA from 1 species